rnacentral:RNase_P_RNA from 1 species
CAGGUGGGAUAAAUGGUCGCGGCCGGCGGAUCGAAAGAUGCCGGGCGAGGAAAGUCCGGGCUUCACAGGGCAGGAUGCCGGAUAACAUCCGGUGGAGGCAACUCCAAGGAAAGUGCAACAGAAAUAAACCGCCGGAUCUGAUCCGGUAAGGGUGGAAAGGCGGUGUAAGAGACCACCGCUCCUUCGGUAACGCGGGAGGCACAUGUAAACCCCAUCCGAAGCAAGGCCGAACAGAGGCGAUGAAGCCGGAAACGGCUUCGGUACAUGGCCCGUCAGCUUCAGGUAGGCUGCUUGAGCCUGUCGGCGACGACAGGCCUGGAUAGAUGACCAUUCACGACAGAACCCGGCUUAUCGUCCCGCCUGUUUU